rnacentral:rRNA from 1 species
GACGAACGCUGGCGGCGUGCCUAACACAUGCAAGUCGAACGGAAAGGCCCUGCUUGCAGGGUACUCGAGUGGCGAACGGGUGAGUAACACGUGGGUGAUCUGCCCUGCACUUCGGGAUAAGUCUGGGAAACUGGGUCUAAUACCGGAUAGGCGCCAUUUUUAGUGUGAUGGUUGGACAGUUUUUUCGGUGUAGGAUGAGCUCGCGGCCUAUCAGCUUGUUGGUGGGGUAAUGGCCUACCAAGGCGGCGACGGGUAGCCGGCCUGAGAGGGUGGACGGCCACAUUGGGACUGAGAGACGGCCCAGACUCCUACUGGUGGCAGCAGUGGGGAAUCUUGCACAAUGGGCGCCAGCCUGAUGCAGCGACGCCGCGUGUGGGAUGACGGCCUUAGGGUUGUAAACUCCUUUCGCUAGGGACGAAGCUUUUUGUGACGGUACCUAGAUAAGAAGCACCGGCUAACUACGUG